ACACAACACUUAUCCCAGACCACAGAAUGAAGUAAGUUACACUCAUUUCAUCCUCCAAUUCUCUGCAAUGACUCAGAUCACUCUGAUACAUCGCUGAUUAACAUGGUGACUCUGAAAUCUAUUACUAAGAAGAAAAUCACGGACUUAAGAUCAAAAAAAGUUCAAAAAGGGAAGUAACAGGUAGAUUCAGUUUUGGGGUAGAUCCACCACUUACCUAUUUCCCUUCAUCCUCUCUAAAAGUAAGACCCUCAGAGGCCUCCCAUAAUGAGGUCUGUCCUGCUGCUAAGGCUGAGUCUCGUUAAGCCUCCUGCCCUCGUUAAGCCAGGGCUUGAUUGGAAGCCCUCUACCACUAUUCUUUAAUGAGUACCAGAAGCUGUUGGCUAAUGGACAGGGAGAUUCUCCCGUACAUCUAGUGGUUUCAUCAAAAGGUAGAAUGACACAACUUUUGACAGAGUUGGGGAGAAGUUUGAUUAAAAAGAAUACAAGUUUUUGAUCAUUUUCCUUUUUCCUUUCCUUGGCCAACCAGGAGACAUUUUCUACAAUGAUAUGAGAGACAAUGAAGUGAAGGAAGAUGCAGUCACAUACCAAACCAUUCAAAUUUAAAAGGCGUACUAUUACAGCCACAGGAGAUGGCCAGGAAUCUGUCAAAACAACAGUCAUGGAUGAGCGCAUUGGAGCCAUCAUUGGAGAGGUUUGUUUCUCGGGGGUGCAGUCUGAUAGUCUGCUGGACAGUGACCUACCACAGCCAGGAAACAUCCCGUCAGCACCAGACAGCAUACCCCAGAAUCAACUAGCAAGAUCUGAAGACAAUGUCGAUUGCUCCAAUAGUACUGGACAGUCCAGGAACGACAUAAAAAUCCCUUUUUAUCUGGGUGUGCUGAGCAGCGGUAUAUGGAAACUGAAUGUACUGGUGUUAACUGGACGAUACCCUGGAGAACUUUGGGGAGCACACGACUGACGGUGGUAUGCCAGACCUAUCACCGAUCUCUGUCUGGAAGGUCCCAGUAGCCAGGAAACCGAUAAUGGGGUCUUUGCUGCACUAGUGACCAUGGCAACACCUGACAGGAAGCGAGGAGCCUGACGAGACCUUUACGACAGCCUCAACAGUCGAGAGAAGCAACAGUAACUCUGAGCCGGGAUAAUAGUUCCCACUCCUGCAGCUCUGGCUUCUGUUUGAAAGUGAGUGCCUAGUGGUAGCUCAGUCAGGUGUAGCCUGAACCUGCCACUUGCCAGUCUUACUCUUCUCGGACUCAGCACCUGCUAUGUGAGAGGUAGAAGAAGCCCAGUGUGUUUCCUGCUGGUUAAAAGACAGGAUUUUUGGAAGUCAGUGAGUUGAGGAGAUGACUAAGGCUGCUCCCCCUAAAACUCAAUGAGACGAAUCAUCUGUCGGAGACCCCUUAGUUGACUGAGAUUCUUCGAGUCCAGCAGUCAGUGUGCGUUACAAUAACAAGAUGAAACAGAUAGAAGCUUAAAAAAUGCAAAAAUG